GGAGACGUAUCGAAGUGGUCAUAACGAGGCUGACUCGAAAUCAGUUUGCGGGCAACCGCACGGGGGUUCGAAUCCCUCCGUCUCCGCCA
rnacentral:tRNA from 1 species